CGUGUAGGCGGUCAAGUAAGUGGAAUGUGAAACGCCUCGGCUUACCCGAGGACCUGCAUCCCAAACUGCUUGGCUUGAGUAUGGGAGAGGAUGAGGGAAUUCCUGGUGUAGCGGUGAAAUGCGUAGAUAUCAGGAGGAACACCGGUGGCGAAAGCGCUCAUCUGGCCCAAUACUGACGCUGAGGCGCGAAAGGCUAGGGGAAGCAAACG
rnacentral:rRNA from 1 species